GACAGAGGGUGCAAACGUGGUUCGGAAUUACUGGGCGUAAAGCGCGUGUAGGCGGCUUUGCAAGUCGGAUGUGAAAUCCCACGGCUCAACCGUGGAAGUGCAUUCGAAACUGCAAGGCUAGAGUUCUGGAGAGGAAGGUGGAAUGCUUGGUGUAGAGGUGAAAUUCGUAGAUAUCAAGCGGAACACCGGUGGCGAAGGCGGCCUUCUGGACAGUAACUGACGCUGAGACGCGAAAGCGUGGGGAGCAAACAGG
rnacentral:rRNA from 1 species